UUUCUUAUUUAUGCUCUUAACCUCUUCCUUCCAUCAUUCCUUUUCUCCUCUCUUUUGCACUAUCCUCCCCCCUACUUCUUUCCCACCCCCACUUUUAUCUUUCUCUUCAACAUCAUCACAAAUAUACAUCAAAUUUUAUUAAUAUGGAGAAACUAGAUUUAUCAAAAUAAAAAAAUAAACUAAACCAUAAAUGGUUCAUACCUCUUAUCCUCCUCAGGGGUUAAAGCGAAGAACAUUUUUAAAGUUUGGAUGGUCAUCCCACUCCAACGAUUCCCACCAUUCUGUGCUUGACCUGAUGGUAAGAGAAGGUGGAGCAUAUGCAAAUGGCUGCCCAUUGCCAACAAGGGCAACAAAUGGAGGAAUUCUCUUCAGUUUAUAACAGUCUCCAGCAACUUGGAUAAGUUGGAGAGAAUCGCAAACCAUCACUCCACUUUUGCUGCAAAUGCUCUUCAAAUUUGGUAAUCUCCACAAUUUCAACUUUCUCAAUUUGGGAAGAUGGAAUUUGAUUAAUGCAUCACUCCCUUUUUCUUCAACUUGUGAUGUUGGUGCUCCCAAUAUUUCUACUAACUCAUAACAAAUAUCCACUAAUAUUUCUUCCAGGUUUUGGGGGUUUGGAAGCAACCAAUGUGGAAGCAACGUCUUCAUACUUGAGCAUUCGAUUAUAACAAUUUCCUUAAGAUGGGAAAAGGUGGCAGACGUAGCCAAUGUUGAUGUAGUUGCUGAACCAAUUCCUGCAUCAUUCAUAAUAAGGGCACUCAACUUUGGCAGAUCUCGAAGAUCUAACACCUCGAGGCUCUGAAAUGGAUGAGCGGAAGAAGAGGCAAAAGAGGACAAGGAAACAACACACUCUAUCCCUUUACAAUCAUAAAUCCUCAAGUCAAUCGCAUUUUUUAAGGAAGAAUUAUCAUCGACUAGGUUUCUCAAAUAGUCGCACUUUAAAAUAUUCAACUCUUGAAUUUCAAUUGGGUGCAUAAUUAGCUCACCUUCCCAAUUCUGGACUCCUCCAAUUGUUACUGUUUUAUCUCUUGCAGCGGGUAUAAAAGAUGAGCCCACCUGUAAAUAGUACUUGAUGAGAUUUUUCUUACUUUGUUGCAUUGAGGAGAUGUACUUAUUGAAUUCAUUGAUGUCUUCGAAACGUCCGGUAAAGCACUCCAACUUCUUCAAUGGUUCCAUCUCCUCUGCUUUUAGACUUGUUUUUUCAUUGCCCUCAUGAAAACCCAAGUGCUGAAGGUGAACGAGUUUUGGUAAAAGUCCAGCGGGUAUCUCUUUCAGAGUGAACACUUGAAGAUCAAGAUAUCUUAGCUUUAUCAGCAUAUCCAUUCCUUCAGGGACUUCCUCAAUUUUAGUCCCAGAAAGAUCCAACUUCUUCAAUUCUUGAAGCACCGAAAGACAUGGCAGAUCUCUUAAUUGAUAACAACCACGAAGCAACAAUGUUGUGAGGUUCUUUAGUUCAGAGAUGGAAUUUGGUAAACUCUCGAUCUUUGUAAAAGACAAAUUGAGAACACUAAGACAAGGCAUGUUUGUGAAGAAAGAAAUUGAGAUCUUCUUUAUAGGGUUGUGCUGCAAUAACAAGGUUGUGAGCAGUUGACAUUUUGUGGGCAGCACAUCUAUGGAAAUUUCUGAUAUCGAGUUAAACAUAAGCGACACUUUCUCAAUAUCCGGACUCCAUUGCUCCUCUUUUGGUAACUCCUCUAAUUGCAAACCUGCUUGUAUCAUAUAUCGAGGAUUCAUUCUUGUGAUCGACAAUACCAUGUCUCUCACUGCAUCAUGCAUUUUCAUUUCUGACAGCUUCCUCUCCAACUAGUUCUGAUGUUGGCAGCGGCAACCCAGAACUUGGACCAUCCAUGGCAAGGCCUUCAGAGGGAUUAGGAGCUUUAUCAAGAAAUCCCUUCAUUUCUCGAGUCUUUUCAUCAACCAGCUUCCCGUUGCAAGCACGACAGAGAUAUCUCCCGUUACUGACUUUGUUUUCAACAACUUGUGCUUCCCUAAUCAUCUCUUUCACUGCUUUCAACCAAUUUUCAACUCCCUGCUUCGGUAUCUUCCCCAGAGGACGAAGAAGCUCUGCUUUCAAUUGCAGCUCUAUAUCUUCCAUUUUGCAAUUCAAUUCAUCUCUGAUCCUCUUGAAGUUUCUCACAUAAUCGUUCAGCUUUCUGUGAUAUUGCAAACAUUUACAAACAGGAGUUCCGAGACAAUUUGCAAUGCCGACAACAGGCUCUACGCACUCCAUUGCUAUGUCCCUGCAAUGCAAUCAUAUAUAACAGUAGCAGAGAAUUAAAAUCUGUGAAUGAAUUGUAUAUUUUAUGAAGUAUUGAUAUGUCAGUGUAAGCAUGAGUGCAAGUUUCAAGGAAUGGCGUCUAUAUUAGAUGGAGCUGUGGAUGGGUGGCAGACAGAAACAUGAUGAAAUUCUGGUCACCAUUGUAUAUCCAGAAUCAACCUCUCAAACUAUAUAACAUGCUAGAUUCAAGUGUGCAAGAGUUCAUUACAGAAUAAUAAGAGGUAAAAUGUUCAACUGCAUGAGAUUUCCACAUUAUAUUGCUUCUGGGUAGCUCUUUUCGUAUUAAUUUGUAUCUAUAGUAGACCAUGUCUUCUGAACAUACUGUCUUAAAAUCUAUAAUCAGUAGAGGAAAUCAUUGCUUCAGAUCUUAUUACCUUGACUAUCUUACAAAGCAUAGCUCUUUUCGUAUUAAUUUGUAUCUAUAGUAGAUUAUGUCUGCUGAUCAUCCUGUCUUAAAAUCUAAAACUGUUGAUAAUCACUAGAGGAAACCAUUGCUUCAGAUCUUAUUACCUUCACUAUCUUACAAAGCUAGCUGCUAUAACUGUAGCUGAUAAUAAAAAACAAUCAUUGUAUAGUCAUGCAUUAAGCAAAUGACAGAAAAUUACCUUGACUGGAUGCUUGAAAUUAGUGAUAGACCUUGGAGAUCAAAAGAAAUUAAAAAGAGUGAAGAAGAAGUGAAAACAGAAAUAAGCAAAGUUGUGAUAGGAAUUAAUGGGAAAGUAUGUGAAGAAGAAGAAGAAAGAGAAAAUAAUUAAUAAUUAAUGGGAAAGCAUAAUUGGCAUUAAAAAUUAUUAGAAAAACUCAAAAUAGAAAUCCAUCUCUUUUGCCUUUUUCUUUUUGAUUUUUUUUUCUUUGCUGUCAGCCAUUAUAAUUGGCAUUAAAUAAUAAUAAUAAUUAGGUUUAAUGAUAAAUUUGGUCACUAACUUUUGCUUGUUUUGUCAAAAUGGUCCUAAUUCUAUUUUUGAGCUUUUCUUUACCAUCAUCUUUUGUUUCAAUAUUUCUUUUCUUUCAAAAGUUUUCAAUCUUUCAUAUGUUUGUUUACUGAGAAGUUUUUCUACUGAGUUAACUUUUUUUCAUUUGGAACUUUAAUAAGUAUAUUUGUGUUCUAAAUUUUUAUAUAUUUGUAUAUGUAAAUAAUGACAUUGAUUUAGCGUCACAAAUAAACAUGACACCAACUCAGUAUUAAAGACAAAACAAUGAUAAACAUUUGUAUUCAUUUAAUAUUCAUGUGUUUUUGUAUUUAAAUUUUGUUUCACUCCCAAUUUAUUUUUAUUUUAAUAUUAUACAUAUUUCAUGUGUUAUUAUUAAUUAGUUUCGAAUCAUACUCUUCAUUAUUUAUUGUAUGUUCUUUUUAAACACAAAUAUGUGUUCUAAAUACGUGAUUGUCACACUCAUAUGCGUGUGAUAAGAUUUCUAGUGUUAUUAAAACCUUUUAAAAAAAUUGUAAUUUUUAGACUCAUUAAUAUACUCUUAAAAAUAAUCUAAAAUUUUUUCAUGCCUACCCAUUUUUAUCCCAGCUCAGUCAACCCAGAAAUAUUCAUUUGAGAGAUCAAAAAAUAAUAAAAUAAUAAAAAUUAUUUUUAUAUUCUUAAUUAAAUUUAAAAUUUAAAAAUAUUUUUUAUUAUUUAAAUUGAAUUCGAGUUGGAACAGCUCGUGACAUAAAAAACCUUGUCCAAGCCCAACUUAACCAUGGAAGAAGAAACACAUUUGGUUUUUACAAUUUGGGUUUUGAAAAAUAAUUUAAAUGUAAUUAAAAUUUGAACUGAGUUUGAAAAAAAAGUUGUGGUAUAUUUUGUAAUCUUUUGACAAAAAAAUGACAUCCGGGUCGAUUUUAUAAGUCUCUGUAAUAUCAGUCCUAGAUGUUCUUCAAGAGCAUGAAACUGAACUUUUUUAUUUUGUUUUGUUUCUAAUUUGUUAUUGGAUUCUAUUGAAUGAUACUUUUCUUUAUUUCUAAUACAUUUUAGUUCUUCAACAACAUAUUCAAGAUUUUAUUUUUCUAGAAUUUAAUAUGUAUUUUUCUAUUUUAUAAAUGAUUUUAAUUUUUUUAUAUAAAAUUAGGGUCAAAUUGAUAGAAAUAUAUAUAUAUAAAUUGAGGACAAAAAUUGUAACGCCACAAACCUGGUUUAUACGUUAUGGUCGAAUCUGGAGGAAUUACAUUAACUUGUUUAAAAACCCAGAAAAUAAAUUUGAAAUUGUGUGUUUUGACAAUAUUAAUUAUGGCGAAUCACUUUUUAGUUUUUAAGAAAACAAUCGUUAAAACUAUUUAUUUUGUUAUAGAAAAAUACUUAAGCGAUUAUUUUAUUUUGCAGUGAAAAAUUUUAGAGUACUAAAAUUUGAAAACCAUGACUUAAUUUGUAAAACACAAAAUCUUGUAGUUUUAAGUAAUAAUUACUAAAUCCAACUAAGCAAAGCAAAAUUCAGAAAAAGAUUUACAACCCCCCAUCAUACUUAAAUAAUUGAGAACUCAAUCUGAUCUUUUGCUCGUCGUCUGGUCCUAAAUAUGUUGAUUAAUUGAGAAAUUAGAAACAUUGGGUGAGCUUAUAGGCUUUGUAACACCCCAAACCCGGCCUAGACGUUAUGGCCAAAUCUGGAGAUGUUACUACAAUUUAUUUGAAAAUCCAGAAUUUGUUCGACUUAUAAAACAAUGAUAGCUCUUAUUAAGUAAAAUCCGAGUUUAUUUGGGGAAAAUAUCCUUGUUAACCAUUUCGAUAAAUUUGUCGAUUAUUUACUCAUAAAACACUUACGUUUGCAGCAAAAAUUCUUAGUUGAGUUUGAUUUUGGAAACAUGGUUUGUUGCUAUAUAAUUUAACAUUUUGUAGAUCGAGUUUAAACCAACCAAAAAUGUUUAAAUAAAUAAAUAAAACGAAAAUAAACCUAAACUUAUAAACAUUCCAAACAUUAAAAUCCUACUCUGAUAUAAUUUUCAAACAUGCUUUCGUAAGUCAAUCAGACAUAUAUCAUAUAUCAUAUACAGAAAUAGAAUUAGAAGAUAUCAGAUGUAGAUUACAAUCCUACUCUGAUCUGUUACACACCAUCUCCGAUCAUCUCUACGCACUAUAUAGGGCAUUAAAUACCCAUCAAACCCUACACACUGCUUAGUGUCGGUAUGAAACUUUUCAAAAUAUUAGCAGCUUAACUGCCAGAUCAUUAGGUGAUUCAUUGCCAAAUGCAAAAUAUGUGUGGCUGAGCCACCAAAUAUGAUAAAUGAAUUAAACUCCCACACUUCCUCCGUAAACACAAAUCUCAUCCUAAUGCACAUGCAGAAUUAACAAAUGUCAGAAAUGUACAUGUCAUACAUGCUUUUAUAGUAGAUAAACAUUUGUGUUCUAAAUUUUUAUAUAUUUGUGUAUGUAAAUAAUGUUAUUGAUUUAGCAUCAUCAACUCGGGAUUGAAGACAAAACAAUGAUAAACAUUUGUAUUCAUUUAGUAUUCUUAAUAUGAUGUGUUUUUGUGUUUAGAUUUUGUUUUACUCUAAAUUUAAUCUAAUUUUUAUUUUAAUAUCAUACAUAUUUCAUGUGUUAUUAUUAAUUAGUUCCAAAUCAUACUUUUCAGUAUUCAUUGUAUGUUAUUUUUAAACACAAGUCUGUGUUAUAAAUAUUUGAUUUCCACAUGCAUAAUCGUGUGAUAAGUUUAUAGUGUUAUUAAGACCUUUCAAAAAAAAAUUGUAAUUAUUAGACUCCUUGAUGUACUCUUAUAAAUAAUCUAAAAAAUUUUCAAGCCUAACCCAUUUUUAGCCUAGCUUGGUCAAUCCAAAAAGUCCAUUUGAGAGUUCAAUAAAUAAUAAAAUAUCAAUUUUUUAUAUUUUUAAUCAAAUUUAGAUUUUAAAAAUAUCUUUUAUUAUUUAAAUUGAAUUCGAGUUGUAACGGCUCAAGACAUAAAAACCUUGUCCAAGCCCAACUCGACCAUGGAAGAAGAAACAUAAUUUGUUUUUACAAUUUGGGUUAUGAAAAAUAAUUUAAUAUAAUUAAAUUUUGAAUUGAGUUUGAAAAACAUUUUGUGGUAUAUUUUGUACUCUUUUGACUAAAAAAAUGACAUCCGGGUCGAUUUCAUAAGCCUCUGUAAUAUCAGUUCUAAAUUUUCUUCAACAGCAUGAAACUCAACUAUAUAAUAUUACUAAUUUGGUUUUGAAAAACGUUGAGGAAGUAUGUAAUGAUCUAACUUUUUUUAUUUUGUUAUGUGCCUAGUUUGUUAUUGGAUUCUAUUGAAUGAUACUUUUUUUUUAAUUCUCAUACAAUUUAGUUCUUCAACAAAAUAUUCAAGAUUUUAUUUUUCUAGAAUUUAUAUACAUUUUUCUAUUUUAUAAAUGAUUUUGAGUUUUUUUUAUAAUUUUUAUAUAAAAUCAGGGUCAAGUUGAUAAAAAUAUAAAAAUUAAGGACUAAAAUUGUAACAUCCCAAACCCGGCCUAGACGUUAUGGCCAAAUUUGGAGGAAUUACAUGAGCUUAUUUAAAAACCUAGAAAUUGAAUUUGAAAUCGUGUGUUUUGGCCAUACUAAUUCUGGCAAAUCACUUUCCAAUUUUUAAGAAAACACUCAUUAAAACUAUUUAUUUUAUUAUAGAAAAACACUUAAAUGAUAACUUUAUUUUACAGAGGAAAUUUCAGAAUAUUAAAUUUUGAAAAUCGUGACUUAAUUUGCAAAACACAAAACUUUGUAGUUUUAAGCAAUAGUUACUAAAUUCAACUAAGCAAACCAAAACGUAAAGCAAAAUAUAGAAACAGAUUUACAACCCCCCAAAAAAUCUAGAAAAUCCUGAAUAAUUUUAAAACAUGAACCAUCAUACUUAAAUAACUGAGAACCCAAUCUGAGCUUCUACACGUCGUUUGGUCCUAAGUAUGCCGAUUACCUAAGAAGUCAAAGAACUUGGGUGAGCUUAUAGGCUUAGUGUGUAAGUCAACCCAAACAGGCAGAAUAGACUCAAAUACAGUAACGGUUAUAGAAAUAGAUACAAUUCAAUUACAUAUAUAAUUUCAAUUGCAGAUACAGAUGCAAUCUCAUAUAUAGAAUUAGAUGCAGAUACAAAUACAGAUGUAAAUACAGACACAGAAAUAAAUCCUACACCCAUCCACUACACACCAUCUCCGUCUCACCAAUACACAUCAAAUAGGACUAUAAGAGCCCAUCCAUCCGUCACACCAAUAAGUGAGCGUAUAUCACUUUUUAGAAUAGCGCAGUCAAGCUGCCAGAAAUAAUGCGGUAUUCUGUCAAAAUCAAUAAGUGUGGUUAAGCCACCAUAUUAGAUAUGUGGUUAAACCACAAAUUAAGUCAUCCUGAGUUGCCCGACAACGAUGCACAUGCCAAAACAUUUUACAUACUCAGAUGCACAUAAAUGAAUCAUGCUUAAAUAGAUUUUCAAAUUACAGAUCAGAAGCAUAAAUUAUACCACAGACAUGCUCUCGAAUAUUACACGUACAAUGUCAAUAUUGAAUAAUAUGCUUUCAAAAAUCACAUUAACAGAAACAAAAUAUCAAAUUUCGUAUCCAAAUGCAUACAUAACACAUUUCGGAACCUACGAAGUGACUAAUUUCAAAUCGCACUUCAAGUACGACCCUGACAGAAUUUUAUGGAAAAUGGGCCCACAUGGCCUAACUGACCCAACCUGUGUGGCCUGCACGGCCUGACACACAUCCUAACACACACCCAUGUAGCCCACACGGCCCAAAUAACCCAGCCCAUAUGACCCACAUAACCUGGCACAUGGUUGUGUGACGUCGAUAGUGGGUUUUUUGAGAUCAUGUCAUUCGCUAUUUUUUGAUGUUUUCGUUACACACCUAGUCGGUUUUCGAUGCUAACACCACUAUGAGGAUUUCAAUACCUAAACCAACAUUUUAGAACGUAAUAAUUAUUAGUAAUUUGCUAAAUCCAAGUCACUAAUUCGAUCGCAUAUGCUAAACACUUAGCCUAAGCAACUGAAUUACCUCCAAUUGAAAACUUUAAUCACUUACCCUUGCAAGAACAACAACCCUUUCCCCCACACAAACCGCUGGAGACAAGUCACGAGUCUGUCAAUCUUGUCCUAACAACACAUUGCAAAGAUCAAACUUGAAACCAUCAAUCACUUGAAAGAUUAACCCAACAUCACAUUUAUAUAAAACAAAUAACCAACACUUCCCUAAAGGAAUAACAGAGAUUCAACAGUGUACCAAUAGAAUAACACAAAAGAAAAUAGUAGAGCAAAGAUGAGAAAGGAAGGCAGCAAAACUACUAGAGCAAAAAGAAAAUAGAAAUCGAUAGAUGGAAAAAGAAAAGGGAAAAGAAAACGUGAACAAUGUGGCAAGAAGUGGACGAUAGAAUGAGGUAAAUUUUGGGGAAAUUUUGUAGGAAAAUGGAAAACUUCCCCAUUCAAUUUGAUUAGUUAUCCUUAUAAAAAAUAUUUCUCAGAGUUUGAAAACAAAAAUAAUUCCACUUUACACAGAUAAGAUUCAAACACAAACCUCUAAGUAAACUAAAGCCUUACCACUAAACUAGCAAACUCAUUCUUAUCAUCAAUUGAGCAAAAAUAAUAUAUAAGCUAGAUGUUCAGAAGUGGAAGUUAGGACAAAAAUAAUGAAAAUUUAAGGGAAAAGAUUUGAACACGGAAAAGAUUUGAACACAAGACCUUAGACACAUCUAAAGCACUUAACCACUAAACCAAAUCAAUUUACUUAACAUAAUUUCCCAAUCUUAAAUCAAAAAUAGGACAUGACCACUCUUGGUUUCACUAACCCAAUUUCUACUAACCUGGUUUUUGGGAUGUGACAAAAAUUGUUAUCAUACUAGCUAAAGUAAGCGCCACUUAACAGUCGGGUGACCAAAAUUUUUUUCUAGAAACAUUAGUGACCAAAUUGUAUCUUAUUUUAGUUAAGUGACCAAAAUGAAAAUUGACCCUUUUUUGAGUGACUAAUGGUGUAGUUUACCCUAAAUUCUUUUAAAAACUUUAGUUUAAUUUUUUUUAAUGUUAUUAGAAGAUUUCAAACAAUAAAAUUUUAAUUUAAAAUUUUUAAUUAUUAGACUCCUUGACAUUAUUAUUCUCUUAAAAAUAAUCUAAAAAUUUUCAAGUCCAAGCCCGUUUUGACCCAACUCAACCUACCUAAAAAGCUCGUUUCAAUGUUCAAAAAAAAAGUACAUUUUUAUAAUUAAAUUUAAAUUUUAAAAAUAAUUUUUUUAUUAUUUAAAUUAAAUUUGAGUUGGACCGACCCGAAUUAUAAAAAACUUUAUCUAUAUAGACCCGACUCUCGUUGAAGGCCCAUGGAUGGGUCUAUAGUCAACUAUUAUCCCAUAUUUUAAACUUAAAAUUUGAAGCCUAUGUAUGCUUUUUAUUAUAAAAUUUUGAAGUUUAUUUUUAAAAAAAUAAUAAAAUAAAAGUUAGUGUUGAAUGUGGUAAAGGACCAUUAUAAUAUUUAAUUUUGGCAUCAUAUCAAAAUAAGUUUAUAAUUAAUUGUUAUUGUAUUAUAUAAAUUAUUUUUUAAAAUAAAUAUUUUAGAAGGCUAUUUUGAGAUGUGUAUAUAUAUACAUGCAUAUUAAGAUAAAAUCAUGUUAAUUUUUAAGGAAGAAUAAGAAAAUGUUUAUUUAUAAAGGAAAUAAAUCUUUAUAGUCCUUUUAGUAUGAUUUUGAUAUUUCAUGAUUGAUUCUUUCACCGAUGCUACCUUUCAAGGUAGAUUGACAAUAUUUUGAAAAGUUGUCAUUUCCAAAGAGGAAUCUGAUUAGCAUUACUUUGGUAGACUUGAAUUUCAUAUGGUCCAUGUGUCCUUCACUCCAACUAUUCAAAACAGCUAAAUAUCCAAUCCCGUAUUUAUUUAAGCAACUUUUCUUUCAUUCCUUUCACUUGAAACUCAAAACGAAAGUACUUUCUUGAGAUUCUCCUUAUAGCAAUGCCUUCCAAUUCCUCCUUAAAAUUAUCUCUCAAACUAUUAACUUUAAAGAAAUUCUUGUAAUGGCAAUCAAACAUUUUUUACAGUUUAUGCACAAUUUUACAAUUAACAAAAAUAGCGAUAAAUUUCUUUGAUUCUAACACUGAAUUAUCUUCAAUGCACCUAAUACAUUCCAUGACUAUAAAUUUGUUCAGCAUAUUUUCUCAAUCAUUCAAAAGUAGGGGUUUAGUGUGUUUUGAAUUUUGGAAUCACCAUGUUGAUAUUGGUUUAUGUCUUGUUUGCAACAUAUCUUGCCUCUUUGAUGCUAGAGAAUUUAGCAAAGUCAAAUUUGCACCCUUUAGCUGUCAACUUGCCUGAUAGGAAUAUAUAUAUUUAUCAUAUCUUUGGAAAACAUAUGUGAGUCAUCUUUGAUCACAAAUUAUUUUUAAAAGACAAAAUAGUAGGAUUGAUUAGUUGUCUCUCAAAUCACCAUUUCAAAAUAUAUAAUCCUUUUAUUAUAGUUCAUUUAGACCAUAUCAAAUGUUUUCAAUUUAUUUUGCUACUCUUUCUAUAUUAUUUAAAUUUUAAUCAUAUCAAUUUAUAAUAUCUUAUUUAUCGUUUACAGUAUGAGCCAUAUCUUCUCGUGAAUUAAUCCUCUUCUAAUUUUGAAGUUGGUGUUUAUAAAUAUAUAUAUAUAUAUAUAUAUUAUAAGAACAUUAAUGAAAUAAUACAACCAAUAAAAAUGAUAUUUUAAUAUAAAUUGAUUACCAUUUAACUGAAUUCUUAAAUAAUUUAAAAAAGAAAAAAGAAAACAAUCAAGGGUAUAAUUAAGAUGGAGAACAUUUUUAAACAUUAGUUAAUAUUUUAAUUUAAUAAAAUUAAUUACAAAUUGAAUAGUUAAUUUUAAAAAUUAAUUUUAUAGUGCAAAAUUUAAAUUUCUAACAAAUUGGUUUGUUUUUAACAUAGAGGCUGAUGUGGCUAUUAGUUGUCUAACGGUCAACAUUAACCUCUGACAUGAUGGUCUAAAUGAAUUUAAAUACGAACAUAACAUUAUUUUCUCUUAUAUACCACGUCAGCAAAUAAUUUUAAGAUUAUUAAAAAAAACCCUAAACAUACACGAACACAAAUUUCAUAUUCAAAUUGAUACAAUUGCAAAAAUCAAGAACCACAAACAUAGAGUUGAGAACACAAUCUAUAGUACCUUAAAAACUUAUGUCCUGUUCGAAAACUAGAGGUGCUCAUGGGCCGGGCCGGGAUAAAACAGGUGAAUUUCAUAUCAACUUUCAAAUCUCACCGAUGACUAAUUUCAAAUCUCACUUCAAAUACGACCUUGACGGAAUUUUAUGAAAAAUGGGCCCACACGGCCUAACUGACCCAACCCGUAUGGCCUACACGGCCUGGCACACAGCCUAACACACACCCGUGUAGCCCACGACCCAAAUAACCCAGCCCGUAUGACCCACAUAACCUGGCACAUGGCUGUGUGACGUCAAUAGUGGGUUUUUCGACAUCGUGUCAUUCACUAUUUUUUGAUAUUUCCAUUACACACCUAGUCGAUUUUUUAUGCUAACAUACUACGAGGAUUCCAGUACCUAAACCUACAUUUUAGAAUGUAAGAAUUAUUAGUAAUGUGCUAAAUCCAAGUCACUAAUUUGAUUGCAAAUGCUAAACACUUAGCCUAAGCAACCGAAUUACCUCCAAUUGAAAACUUCAAUCACUUGCCCUUGAAAAAAACAACAACCCUUUCCCGCACAUAAACUGCUGGAGACAAGUCACGAGUCUGUCGAUCUUCUCCUAACAACACAUUGCAAAGAUCAAAGUUGAAACCAUCAAUCACUUGAAAGAUUAACCCAACACCACAUUUAUAUAAAACAAAUAACCAACACUUACUCGAAGGAAUAACAGAGAUUCAACAGCGUACCAAUAGAAUAACACAAAAGAAAAUAGUUGAGCAAAGAUGAGAAAGGAAGGCAGCAAAACUACUAAAGCAAAAAGAAAAUUAAUAGAAAUCAUUAGAUGGCAAAAGAAAAGGGAAAAGAAAACAUGAACAAUGUGGCAAGAAGUGGACGACAGAAUGAGGAGAAUUUUGGGGAAAUUCUCCUCACUCAAUUUGAUUAGUUAUCCUUAUAAAAGAAAUUUCUAGAGUUUAAAACAAAAAUAAUUCCACUUUGCACACAUAAAAUUCAAACACAAGACCUCUAAGUAAACUAAAGCCUUACAACUAAACUAGCAAACUCAUUCUUAUCAUCAAUUGAGCAAAAAUAAUGUAUAAGCUAGAUGUUUAAAGAUGGAAGUUAGGACAAAAAUAAUGAAAAUUUAAGGGAAAAGAUUUAAACACAAGACCUUAGACACAUCCUAAGCACUUAACCACUAAACCAAAUCAAUUUGCUUAACAUAAUUUUCACAAUCUUAACUCAAAAAUAGGACGUGACCACUAUUGGUUUCACUAACCCAAUUUCUACUAUCCUGGUUUUUGGGAUGUGACAAAAAUUGUUAUCAUACCAACUAAAGUAAGUGCCAUUUAACAGUCGGGUGACCAAAAUAUUUUUUUCUAGAAACCUUAGUGACCAAAUUGUAUCUUAUUUUAGUUAAAUGACAAAUGAAAAUUGACCCUUUUUUGAGUGACUAAUGGUGUAGUUUACCCUAAAUUCUUUUAAAAACUUUAGUUUAAAUUUUUUUAUGUUAUUAGAAGAUUUCAAACAAUAAAAUUUUAAUUUAAAAUUUUUAAUUAUUAGACUCCUUGAUAUUAUUAUUCUCUUAAAAAUAAUCUAAACUUUUUCAAGUCCAAGCCCGUUUUCGACCCAACUCGACCUACCUAAAAAGCUCAUUUCAAUGUUUAAAAAAAAUAAAAGUAUAUUUUUAUAAUUAAAUUUAAAUUUUAAAAAUAAUUUUUUUAUUAUUUAAAUUAAAUUUGAGUUGGACCGACCCGAAUUAUAAAAAACUUUAUCUAUAUAGACCUGACUCUGGUUGAGGGCCAUGGAUGGGUCUAUAAUAAACUAUUAUCCCAUAUUUUUAACUUAAAAUUUGAAGCCUAUGUAUGCUUUUUAUUAUAAAAUUUAAAGUUUAUUUUUUAAAAGAAUAAUAAAAUAAAAGUUAGUGUUGACUGUGGUAAAUGACCAUUAUAAUAUUUAAUUUUGACAUCACAUCAAAAUAAGUUUAUAGUUAAUUGUUAUAUGUAUUAUAUAAAUUAAUUUUUAAACUAAAUAUUUUAUAAGGCUAUUUUGAGACGUAAAUAUAUAUAUAUAUAUAUACAUGUAUAUUAAGAUAAAAUAAUGUUAAUUUUUAAGGAAGAAUAGGAAAAUGUUUAUUUAUAGGGGGAAAUAAAUCUUUAUAGUCAUUUUAGUAUAAUUUUAAUAUUUCAUGAUUGAUUCUUUCAUCGAUGCCACCUUUUAAGGUAGAUUGGCAAUGUUUUGAAAAGUUGUCAUUUCCAAAGAGGAAUCUGAUUAGCAUUACUUUGGUAGACUUGAAUUUCAUAUGGUCCAUGUGUCCUUCGCUCCAACUAUUCAAAACAGCUCAAUAUCCAAUCAUGUAUUUAUUUAAGCAACAUUUCUUUCAUUCCUUUCGGUUGAAACUCAAAACGAAAUUACUUUCUUGAGAUUCUCCUUAAGCAAUGCCUUCCAAUUCCUCCUUAAAAUUAUCUCUCAAACUAUUAACUUUAAAGAAAUUUUUGUAAUGGCAAUGAAACAUUUUUUUCAGUUUAUGCACAAUUUUACAAUUAACAAAAAUAACAAUUUUACCAUUUUACAAUUUUACAAUUAUCUUUGGAAACAAUAUGUGAGUCAUCUUUGAGUGAUCUUUGAUCACAACUUAUUUAUAAAAGACAAGAUAGUAGGAUUGAUUAGUUGUCUCUCAAACCACCAUUUCAAAAUAUAUAAUCCUUAUAUUAUAGUUCAUUUAGAUCAUAUCAAAUGUUUUCAAUUUAUUUUGCUACUCUUUCUAUAUUAUUUAAAUUUUAAUCAUAUCAAUUUAUAAUAUCUUAUUUAUCGUGUAUGAGUUAUAUCUUCUCGUGAAUUAAUCCUCUUCUGAUUUUGAAGUUGGUGUUUAUAAAUAAAAAUAAAAUAAUAUUAUAAGAACAUUAAUGAAAUAAUACAACCAAUAAAACUUAUAUUUUAAUAUAAAUUGAUUACCAUUUAACUGAAUUCUUAAAUAAUUUAAAAAAGAAAAAAGAAAACAAUCAAGGGUAUAAUUAAGAUGGAGAACAUUUUUAAACAUUAGUGAAUAUUUUAAUUUAAUAAAAUCAAUUACAAAUUAAAUAGUUAAUUUUAAAAAUUAAUUUUAUAGUGCAAAAUUUAAAUUUCUAACAAAUUGGUUUUUUUUAACAUAGAGGUUGAUGUGGCCGUUAGUUGUCUAACAGUCAACAUUAACCUCUGACAUGACAGCUCAAAUAAAUUUAAAUACUAACAUAACAUUAUUUUCUCUUAUAUGCCACGACAACAAAUACUUUUAAAAUUAUUAAAAAACAAUAAAAAAAAACACCUAAACAUACACGAACACAAAUUUCAUAUUCAAAUUGAUACAAUUGCAAAAAUCAAGAACCACAACCAUAGAGUUGAGAACACAAUCUACAGUACCUUAAAAACUUAUGCCCUGUUGGAAAACCAUAAAAUCCCAUAUUGAACAUAAAUCUAUGAAACACAAUGCUUUCCUUGUCAUCAAAAUUUUCUCAAGAAAAUCAAUGAAGGACCUGAGAUGAAGCAUAGUUAUUGAUGAGAGCCAAAACAUUGCUCGUCAAACGUGUGAUCUUAAUAAUUCCUUUCCUCACCAUCAUCUUUGCAUACCCAUUCAUAGCCCUGCUUGAGAAUCUAUCCAUUCAAGUAUCUUCAUCCGUCAGAGCAGCAUCAACCUAGGUUUGAAGAUCACUCAUAAGCACAAAGUUGGAGCCUCUGAUAUGAAAAAAAUUUACAUAUAGAUUUUUGGAGCUCUUAGAUAGAGUCGUAGAUCAGUUCGAUGCAAUCCACGUGGCGGAAGUGACCCGAGGUUUCAAACAUGGGUUCCGGCGACUCUUCGCAUGAGCUUAGAUGUGGAUUUGUUGGUUUUGAAGGUGACGAGGAGGGUGGUGUGAGAAAUCCCCAAAAUCUCCAAAAUUGAAAACCUAAACAAAAAUUCGCAAAAUCAAAACCCUUACCCAAAAUCCCCAAAUUAGACCACCCAAAAUCCAAAAUCCUCAAAAUCGACAACCCUAAACAAUUUAUGGUGAUUUUAGAAAUAAAUGUAAAAGAAAAUAAAUAUUUAUUUUCGAAAAUAAAAACUACUCAACCUCAAUAGACGAAACACACAAGCAUGAUAAAUAAUCUCCACGAAAGAAAUUUAUAAAAGCACGUGGUGUCGAGAAAAUUAGAUUUAAGGAAACCCUAAAAUUUUUAGAAACUCUUCAAAUGCCACAAAAGAAUCUAAAUCAAGAAAAAAAACUGGAAAAAGAAAAAUUGAACAAACAAAUAAAUUGUACAGAAAUGGGUUUGCAAAUGAUAUGCGAUGGAUUCAAUAAAGAAAUAAAAGGAUUUGAAGAGAGAAACUUACCGAUUAAGAAAAGAGAGAAUUAGCAAUGAUCUAUUGUAAUAAUCUUUUAUGCCCAUCCCCCAAACCCCAAUCUUGCUCACCUCCUCCUGCAUCAAACAUGCCCAAAUGUCAUUUCUGACAGCUUCUUCUCCAACUACUCCUCAAGGCUCAGCAGCAAUCGUAAGCGAAGCUUUUGGCAUGGGACUUCUCAAAUAAACCUUUCUUUUGCUUUUACCCUUCUUUGGGUUUGUUGAGAAAUUUUGUGUGAUUUUGUUGAUUUCAUUUUUCAGGUUAUGCAGCAAAUAGGUAAAGAUGAAUGUACAAGCUCAUUUUGCCCGGGGCCCAACUAACCCAAUCAAUAAACCCAUUACCAGACCCCAAACAACACCCAAAACCCAACAAAACAAAAAAUAAAGACCCAAUAACCAAGCUCAAUUACAUCAGGCCCAAAAUUUCAGCCCAGUCAAACUAGGGUUUCAGAAAACUGAAAGCCUAGCUUACCUGCCCUCAGCCGCCGUUGCCCAUGCCACUGCCGCACCUAACCCCUGGCCUUCUGAUGCCGUUGCCCACCUGCUCCACCAACUCCUCUGGCACCUACAAGGGAGAGUACACGCAACAACAAGUACCAAGGCAGUAGAAAUAAUAAAACAAAAUCAUGUAAAAUGGCUAUAAAAGCCAAAGAGUCAAACGAUUGUAACUUUUUUUUUACAGACAGACAUUAGAAAAAAAAAAAAAAAACAAACUCAAACUUCAAAAGGUUGGGCAUCCAUUCUGCUUAGUUUUUCAUUUUUUCUUUUUACUUAUUAUUUUUAUCGUCAUCUUUUACAAGUUUAUUUUUUUAACAAGGAAAAUUAUAUUAAAAAACAAUAAAAAAGGAGAAAUCUUUACCCUUUUUUUGUUGUCAUCGGAGUGCUUAGAAGGCCGAGGAGGGACACCGAAAAAAAGGUGAACUUUUCAGUUCACGGCCACCGUAUGCGGCAGCGCCGGCGCCGGUAACUGGCGGCCGGUGACCGACGGCCAACGGCCGGUUCCGAGGCUGUUUUCUGGAGGAAGAAAGGGGGAGUGGAGAGAGUUUGAAGGUUUUUAUUUUAAAAAGAAGAAGGAAAUGAAUUUUUUAUAAAAUUUUGGAAUUUAUAGGGGAAUAAAACGGCACCGUUUUGGCUUGGCACCAAAACACCCAAAACGACGUCGUUUUGUCAUGGACCGACCCGACCCAAUGAAGAUCCGCGUGUUUUCAUACCUGAGGGUCUAUUUUCGCUUUUAGUCCUUCCUCUUUUGCUCUUUCGUGCAAUCUAGUCCCAUUUUGUUUUUUAAUUCGGUCGCCUGAUUUUUUUCGCGUUUCAUUUUAGUCCGCGUUGAAACGCUGCAUGUUAGGGUUGGGAUUAUUGCCUGAUUGGUCCUUCGUCCUUUUAGCGCGUUUUAUUCUGGUCCCUGGACCAUUCUUUUAGUUAUUUACAGUUUUAAACCCUGAAAUUCAUCUUAAGUUUUAAUUUAGACCUUUUGUAUUUUGUUUAUUUUCUCAUUAAGUAAUAAAUUUGAUGUUAUACUGUUAUUAUUAAUUAUUAUUGCUGUUGUUUGCUCAUUUAUACCUUUUAAAAUUUCAAAUUUUAUCAUAUACAUGUAUGUAUAUACUUAUUUUUAUACUCUAUAAUUUAUAUACAUAUUUUGUUUUCAUAAAUAUAUAUACACACUUAUAUAUAUUCUUUAGAUUUUAAAAUAUAACCCCUUUUACACAUGUUUCAUAAUUCACACACAUACAUAUAUUUUUUAUACUUUAUAAUUCUAACAUACAUACAUAUAUAUAUAUAUAUAUUUAUAAUUUUAUUCAUUACUAUUGUUUCAUUUGAUGUUCAUUUAUUUACUUAUUUAUUUACAUGCUCAUUAUUAGUAUUAUUUACUUAAGUGCUUUAGUUUACUUGUUCAUUUACUUUUGUUUGUGUAUACAUUAUUGAUUUCUUUUUAUUAUAUAUUUGCUAUCUUAUUUAUUUAUCUUUUCUCUUUUGCUUGUAUUAUUUCACUUACAUCAUCAUCAUCGUUAUUCCAUUACAUUCAUUUUUCUUAGAUUUUAAAAAAAGAAAUUUUAAAAAUAAAAUAAUAUCUAAUAUUUAGGAUCUUCGAGAGAAUCGAGCCCUAACGUAUUGGGUUCCGAUUUUUUUCGUUGAAUCUAAAUAAUCGAAACUAUUUUUAUAACACAUAAAAAGUUCAUUAUCGGGAAUUCAAUAUGUUGUGUCCUAACGUAUUGGAUAUGACACGUUUUUUUUUCGAGAUGAGAAUUUUCCUAAAAAUAAAAAAGGCAAUAUUCAAUGUUCGGAAUGUUGAGAAAUUGUGCCCUAACAUAUUGGGUUGCGAUUUCCUCAUCUGACUUGAACAAUUGAAUAUUCUUUUUAAAUUUUAUCAUAUGAGUUUUUUAAUACAAGCAACUUGUUUUAUAUGAGUCUUCUUAAAACAAAAAGAUCAUAUUUUAAAUCUCUUUAAAAUUUUCAAUUUUCGACAUUAAAACAUUAACUAAUAAACUAAGUACCAAUUUUUUGGGCGUUAUGAGGGUGCUAAUCCUUCCUCGUACGUAACCGACUCUCGAACCUCUUUUUUGAAUUUCGUGGAUCAAAAUCGUUGUUUUAAUAAAAUUAAAUCGUUUAUUGAAAACAACCUCUUUUCAAGGUGAUCGGAUCACAUCUUAUCAAAAAAGAUUAAUGGCGGCUCCCGUUUUUGUUUUCUUUUUUUAAAUCCAAGUCGACUUCGUUUUCAUCAAAAAAAGUAGUGUCAACAAUGAAUCGAUAAAUACUUCUGGAUUUCUUGUUUUCUUAAUUAGCGUUUUGGGUUUAAUUAAAAAAAAUUGUGUUUUUGUUUAACUUUUUGUAGAAUUGAUCGGGAAGAGAGUUUUGCCAAAGUGAAGAAAUAUGGGCUUCCCCAAGAUGAAGGUGUAAAAUCCUUCAUUUCCAACCCCACAGCCGAGCUUUCUGGUAAAAUGUUUUUGGAUAUUUUCUUAUAAUAAAAGUGUACAUUCUGGAAAUGUAUUGGGAAAAGAAAGGGUUGUGUUGGUUAUGAUGAGUAAGGCUACCAAUGAGGUGUUGGAGAGGAAAGGUGGAAUUUUAGCAUUGAAACAGAGAGUGAGGGUAAUAGUUGAUCCUCUACUGCUUUACUGUUUUACUUGACAUCAGUUAAUUUAAAAUGUAGGAGAUUUUGCAGUGUGUCACGGGGAUAGAGUGACAAAGAAAUUAUGAGAGAAAUAGAGGCAAUCAUGACACAAAUUGCUUCAACUAUCACUUACUUACCAUGUCUUGAUGGACCAUGUAGAGCACUAUUUGAGUUCAAUUUUUUAAAAAGCUUUUCAAUGCCCCAAUAUGUGUUAAAGAUGUAUCAUCCAUAACAAAUAAUUUUUAAAGCCAUAUUUGUUAAUUUUACCAAAAUGUAUUUAAUUUACUUACUUUGUUUGUGAGAUAAAAGCCAUAUUUGUUAAUUUUACCAAAAUGUAUUUAAUUUACUUACUUUGUUUGUGAGAUAAAACAUCUUAGCAAAUUUCAAUAAAACUUGCAGCGGACAACAUUAUAGCAAAUUGACCUUAAAACUUGCAGCAGAAAGCAUUAUAGCAAAUUUACCUUAUCUUGAUUUAAGUAUAGGUAAAAGUUGAAACUUUUGAAAAAUAAAUGUCAAAAUAAUUUUUAGCAUCUCAAAUAAAUUUAAAAUAUCCGAAAGCCCAAAAAGUCCGUAUAAAUAAAAGAGAGCCCAAUGCAUACUUAAAUCGAUAGAGUGAAAUACGAGCUCUAAAGUCAUCGUCCAAUCCUAGAUCUGAAGAUCACCUGAAACAAAAUAAACAAACAUGUGAACUACAAAAGAAAUUUGAAUACUUAGUUCUCCAAAACAACGUAAAAAAUGUGUCUACUUUGCUAGAGGGUUAGGAUUCUCACACUUUUCACCUAAUCGAGAACCAUAAAAUACUAAUAAUGAUAACAAACAGAAAAUACCAACACAAACUCAAUUUGUUCAAGAAACAAAAUAAAACUAAAUUAUUAAUGGAAAGACAACAAAAGUAACAAAAUGAAACUUACACUGCAAACAGAAUACGAUCCAAGUUACAGAACUCACAAAAUAAACGUAGUAUUCAGGAAUAAUGAAAGAGGAGAAAGAAGGAAGAGAAAAGAAGAUAAAUGGCAGAAUAGGGAAACAAAAGAAAGUAGCGUACAAAGUGAGGUGAGAGUGUGGAUAUUUAGUAAAAUUAAAUUGAAAUAAAUAAAUAAAAAGAUUUGUCCAAAUUCCAUUUUCCAAAUUUUAUAGAAUUUAAAUUGAUGAUAAACUAAAGUCUUACCACUAAAUCAAUAGACUCAUCAUUGAAAAUAAGAGAUAAGCGCUAAGGCUCAAGUUGAACAUAAUAUCAUAAUAAAUAGGAAAAAUUUUAAAAAAUAAAUUGAAUCCAAGACCUAAAGCAAACAUUCAAGGUACUUAACCACUACACCAAAUCAAAUCACUUGACAUGCUUAACAACUAGAAUUCAUAAAAUUUGGGGCAUUACGCCAAUGUAAAAUAAAAAAGUUGAAGUUUUUUUUUUUAUCUAGAACCUUUGUAUCUAUGCCUCUCUCAACAACAAAAAUAUUAUGUUUUGACUUUUUCUUUUUAAAAAUGUAAACAUUCUGGCGUUACAAACUACAUAAUUAUUGAGAACCUAUGAUAUUUUCGGUAUUUAAAACUAAAAAAAUUUAAACCUUUAGCUUCGAAAUAAAAGUCGGACAACAAAAUGAAGCAAGAAAAAAAAGAAGGGAACUAAGUUUUUUUUUUUUUUUUUCCAACUUAUCCAUCACAAAUUCAAAGAAGGAGGAAAAUGUGUUUUAUAUAUGGGAAACGUGGAGGGGUUAUUUGCAACAUAAUUCCCUUAAUGUUUUUACUUUAUUUUAAAAGGGAUUUCACUCUUUUAAUUUUCUCAUUUAGUCCUCAUAAUUUAAAAUAUUAUUUUUAAUAUCAUUAACUAUGUUAAUCCCUACAAUUUUUAUAUUACUUAAGAAAAGGAAUUUAUCUUAUUUAAUUUCCACUUUUAAUUUCUAAUAUCAUAUUUUUAUGAAAGUACAUUAUUUUUUUAAUUUUUAUGAUUAAAUUUACAUAUGAAUGAAUCCAAUUAUAUAUAUAUAUAUUAGAAGGUUAUUUUGGGAAGUAAAUAUAUAUAUAUAUAUAUAUAUAUAUAUUAGAGAAGAGAAAGAGAAUAGAAGGAAUGGUAAGAGAGGGAAAAUGUUUAAAAAGUGGAGGCACUUUGAUUUCUUAUUUACCUUUUCCUCUCAGUCUCCAUGCUCUUCCAUCAUUCCUUUUCUCCUCUCUUUUGCACUAUCCUCCCCCCUACUUCUUUGCCACAACCCUUUUACCUUUCUCUUCAACAUUAUCACAAAUAUACAUCAAAUUUUAUUAAUAUGGAGAAAUUAGAUUUAUCAAAAUAAAAAAAAAUAAACUAAACUAUAAAUGGUUCAUACCUUUUAUCCUUCCAAAGGGGUUGAAGAACAUUUUUAAAGUUUGGAUGGUCAUCCCACUCCAACGAUUCCCACCAUUCUUUCCAUGACCUGAUGGUAAGAGAAGGUGGAGCAUAUGCAAAUGGCUGCCCAUUGCCAACAAGGGGAACAAAUGGAGGAAUUCUCUUCAGUUUAUCACAAUCUCUAACAACUUGGAUAAGUUGGAGAGAAUCGCAAACCAUCACUCCACUUUUGCUGCAAAUGUUCUUCAAAUUUGGUAAUCUCCGCAAUUCCAACACUCGCAAUUUGGGAAGAUGGAAUUGGAUUAAUGCAUCACUGCCUUUUUCUUCAACUUCUGAUGUUGCUGCUCCCAAUAUUUCUACUAGCUGACUACAAGCACCCACAUGUAUUUCUUCCAGGUUUUGGAGGUUUGGAAGCAACCAAUGUGGAAGCAACGUCUUCAUACUUGAGCAGCUGUAUACAUCAAUUCGCUUAAGAUGGGAAAAGGUGGCAGACGGAGCCGAUGUUGAUGUUGUUGCUGAACCAAUUCCUUCAUCUUUCAUAAUAAGGGCGCUCAACUUUGGCAGACAGUCAAGUUC
rnacentral:lncRNA from 1 species